rnacentral:rRNA from 1 species
GACGAACGCUGGCGGCGUGCUUAACACAUGCAAGUCGAACGGAAAGGCCCUGCUUUUGUGGGGUGCUCGAGUGGCGAACGGGUGAGUAACACGUGAGUAACCUGCCCUUGACUUUGGGAUAACUUCAGGAAACUGGGGCUAAUACCGGAUAGUAGCUCCUGCUGCAUGGUGGGGGUUGGAAAGUUUCGGCGGUUGGGGAUGGACUCGCGGCUUAUCAGCUUGUUGGUGGGGUAGUGGCUUACCAAGGCUUUGACGGGUAGCCGGCCUGAGAGGGUGACCGGCCACAUUGGGACUGAGAUACGGCCCAGACUCCUACGGGAGGCAGCAGUGGGGAAUAUUGCACAAUGGGCGGAAGCCUGAUGCAGCAACGCCGCGUGCGGGAGGACGGCCUUCGGGUUGUAAACCGCUUUCGCCUGUGACGAAGCGUGAGUGACGGUAAUGGGUAAAGAAGCACCGGCUAACUACGUG